GAUGAACGCUGGCGGCGUGCUUAACACAUGCAAGUCGAGCGAAGCGGUUAAGAAGAUUCUUCGGAUGAUUCUUAACUGACUGAGCGGCGGACGGGUGAGUAACGCGUGGGUGACCUGCCCCAUACCGGGGGAUAACAGCUGGAAACGGCUGCUAAUACCGCAUAAGCGCACAGAGCUGCAUGGCUCGGUGUGAAAAACUCCGGUGGUAUGGGAUGGGCCCGCGUCUGAUUAGGCAGUUGGCGGGGUAACGGCCCACCAAACCGACGAUCAGUAGCCGGCCUGAGAGGGCGACCGGCCACAUUGGGACUGAGACACGGCCCAAACUCCUACGGGAGGCAGCAGUGGGGAAUAUUGCACAAUGGGGGAAACCCUGAUGCAGCGACGCCGCGUGAGCGAAGAAGUAUUUCGGUAUGUAAAGCUCUAUCAGCAGGGAAGAUGUUGACGGUACCUGACUAA
rnacentral:rRNA from 1 species